rnacentral:rRNA from 1 species
UACGAAGGGGGCUAGCGUUGCUCGGAAUUACUGGGCGUAAAGGGCGCGUAGGCGGAUAGUUUAGUCAGAGGUGAAAGCCCAGGGCUCAACCCUGGAAUUGCCUUUGAUACUGGCUAUCUUGAGUGUGGGAGAGGUUAGCGGAACUCCGAGUGUAGAGGUGAAAUUCGUAGAUAUUCGGAAGAACACCAGUGGCGAAGGCGGCUAACUGGCCCAUUACUGACGCUGAGGCUCGAAAGCGUGGGGAGCAAACAGG